rnacentral:rRNA from 1 species
UGGGGAAUAUUGCACAAUGGGGGAAACCCUGAUGCAGCGACGCCGCGUGAACGAAGAAGGUAUUCGUAUCGUAAAGUUCUGUCCUAUGGGAAGAUAAUGACAGUACCAUAGAAGAAAGCUCCGGCUAAAUACGUGCCAGCAGCCGCGGUAAUACGCAGGGAGCGAGCGUUGUCCGGAAUUAUUGGGCGUAAAGGGUACGCAGGCGGUUUAAUAAGUCGAAUGUUAAAGAUCGGGGCUCAACCCCGCAAAGCAUUGGAAACUGAUAAACUUGAGUAGUGGAGAGGAGAGUGGAAUUCCUAGUGUAGUGGUGAAAUACGUAGAUAUUAGGAGGAAUACCAGUGGCGAAGGCGACUUUCUGGACACAAACUGACGCUGAGGUACGAAAGCGUGGGGAGCAAACAGG